UACGUAGGGGGCGAGCGUUGUCCGGAUUUAUUGGGCGUAAAGAGCUCGUAGGCGGUCCGGUAAGUCCGCUGUGAAAGUCGGGGGCUCAACCCUCGAAUGCCGGUGGAUACUGUCGGGCUAGAGUGCGGAAGAGGCGAGUGGAAUUCCUGGUGUAGCGGUGAAAUGCGCAGAUAUCAGGAGGAACACCAAUUGCGAAGGCAGCUCGCUGGGACGUAACUGACGCUGAGACGCGAAAGCGUGGGGAGCAAACAGG
rnacentral:rRNA from 1 species